rnacentral:rRNA from 1 species
GACGAACGCUGGCGGCGUGCUUAACACAUGCAAGUCGAACGGAAAGGCCCUGCUUUUGUGGGGUGCUCGAGUGGCGAACGGGUGAGUAACACGUGAGUAACCUGCCCUUGACUUUGGGAUAACUUCAGGAAACUGGGGCUAAUACCGGAUAGGAGCUCCUGCUGCAUGGUGGGGGUUGGAAAGUUUCGGCGGUUGGGGAUGGACUCGCGGCUUAUCAGCUUGUUGGUGGGGUAGUGGCUUACCUAGGCUUUGACGGGUAGCCGGCCUGAGAGGGUGACCGGCCACAUUGGGACUGAGAUACGGCCCAGACUCCUACGGGAGGCAGUAGUGGGGAAUAUUGCACAAUGGGCGGAAGCCUGAUGCAGCAACGCCGCGUGCGGGAUGACGGCCUUCGGGUUGUAAACCGCUUUCGCCUGUGACGAAGCGUGAGUGACGGUAAUGGGUAAAGAAGCACCGGCUAACUACGU